UAACAAUGUCAAGUAAUUUAUCCCUUAGGAUAAAACCAAUCGCAUGUCUAUUAGUGCGUUCGAAAAUGCAACGGUCUAGAUAUUCAUGCAAGCAUGAGAUCAAGAGACAGAUAUAGGCAUGGAAAGCCAGUGAAAAUAUUAUAUCCUCGCAAACUUUAAACACCGCCAGAUUACUGUUUUCCAAAAGUAGUUGUUUGUCCGAGAACUAGACAUUUUGUUGCCAAUAAACAGUGAACAAUACGCUCUGAGAAUAAAGCCGAUGUUUUGGGAUGUUGGCGCGUUCUACAGACCCCUUUUAGGGGUAGCGAUGAGUAAGUUCGAGAUUUGCCGAGGCGCCGAGACCGCGUUUUAGAAUCCGAGCCCGAGACUUUAAGUCAAAUUUCGGAAUCCGUGUCCGAGCUUUUACUAGCUUGUGUUCGGACAUCAGAUAACUUGCUCGAGAAAGACAUGACAUAUUUGGUAUAGCGAAAAGAGAUUCUGGGAGAGCUGUGCAAA